AACAUGGCAGACGUUGACAACAAAGAACAGUGUGAACUUGAUCAAGAUUUGGAUGAUGUUGAAGAAGUAGAAGAAGAAGAAACUGGUGAAGAAACAAAAAUCAAAGCGCGUCAGCUGACUGUUCAGAUGAUGCAAAAUCCUCAGAUUCUUGCAGCCCUUCAAGAAAGACUGGAUGGUCUGGUAGAAACACCAACAGGAUACAUUGAAAGCUGGCCUAGGGUAGUUAAAAUGCUCUGAAAAAUCUUCAAGUUAAAUGUGCACAGAUAAAGCCAAAUUCUAUAAGGAAGUUCAUGAUCUUGAAAGGAAGUAUGCUCUUCUCUGUCAACCUCUAUUUGACAAGCGAUUUGAGAUUAUUAAAGCGAUUUACGAACCUUCGGAAGAAGAAUGUGAAUGGAAAACAGAUGAAGAAGAUGAAAUUUCGGAGCUGAAAGAAAAGGCCAAGAUUGAAGAUGGAAAAAAAGAUGAAUAAAAAGAAGCUCCCAAGGGAACUCCUGAAUUUUGGUUGACUGUUUUUAAGAAUGUUGACUUGCUCAGUGAUAUGGUUCAGGAACACAAUGAACCUAUUCUGAAGCGCUUGAAAGAUAUUAAAGUCAAAUUCUCAGAUGCUGGCCAGCCUGAGUUUUGUCUUAGAAUUUCACUUUGAACCCAAUGAAUAUUUCACAAAUGAAGUUAUGACAAAGACAUAUAGGAUGAGGUCAGAACCAGAUGAUUCUGAUCCCUUUUCUUUUGAUGGACCAGAAAUUAUGGGUUGUACAGGGUGCCGGAUAGAUUGGAAAAAAGGAAAGAAUGUCACUUUGAAAACCAUUAAGAAGAAGCAGAAACAUAAGGGACGUGGGACAGUUCGUACUGUGACUAAAACUGUUUCCAAUGACUCCUUCUUUAAUUUUUUUGCACCUCCUGAAGUUCCUGAAAGUGGAGAUCUGGACGAUGAUGCUGCUUCUCUGAUUGUAGAACUAGGGAGAAGGCCCCAAGCCUGUGGUGUAUACUAA